rnacentral:rRNA from 1 species
CUACGGGAGGCAGCAGUGGGGAAUAUUGCGCAAUGGGGGAAACCCUGACGCAGCGACGCCGCGUGUAGGAAGAAGGCCUUCGGGUCGUAAACUACUGUCAAGAGGGAAGAACCCGCAGGGCAUUAAUACGGCUCUGCGCUGACGGUACCUCUAGAGGAAGCACCGGCUAACUCCGUGCCAGCAGCCGCGGUAAU